rnacentral:rRNA from 1 species
GUGUCAGCAGCCGCGGUAAUACAGAGGUCCCAAGCGUUGUUCGGAUUCACUGGGCGUAAAGGGUGCGUAGGCGGCGGGGUAAGUUCGAUGUGAAAGCUCGCAGCUCAACUGCGAAAUGGCAUUGAAAACUACCUUGCUUGAGGCUUGGAGGGGGGACUGGAAUGCUCGGUGUAGCAGUGAAAUGCGUAGAGAUCGAGCGGAACACCAGUGGCGAAGGCGAGUCCCUGGACAAGUCCUGACGCUGAGGCACGAAAGCCAGGGGAGCAAACAGGAUUAGAAACCCUGGUAGUCC